rnacentral:rRNA from 1 species
UACAGAGACCUCGAGCGUUAUCCGGAAUCAUUGGGCGUAAAGCGUACCGAUAGGUGGUUAUGAAAGUCAGAGGUGAAAUGACGAAGCUCAACUUCGUCACUGUCCUUUGAAACUUCAUGACUAGAGGGGCAAAGAGGAAGCUGGAACAAACGGUGUAGUAGUGAAAUGCGUUAAUAUCGUUUGGAACACCAAUAGCGUAGGCAGGCUUCUGGGUGCCACCUGACACUGCUAGGACGAAAGCGUGGGGAGCGAAUGGG